rnacentral:lncRNA from 10 species
UCACCUUGAGAAGAACCAUAAAAGUUAGAAAACAAAAGGAAUUUUUUUUCUUUUUGGACACCGGUCAUCAGCAGUGUUCUCUUCGGGCUGCUGGCAUCUGGGCCCAGUUGCUGGGUUACAGGCAAAUAUAAUCAAAACAAACACUAAAAGGUACUCUUUUGGCUUUUAACAUGUUGGAAAGGUCUUCUGCCUUCCAUCCUUUGUGCUAGCCAAUUCUCAAUGCGGAAGUGUCUUUCCCACUUGUCCUUCCCUUUUCUUCUUGCAGGACAACUUCUGAUUAUAAAUUUGUUGUGGAGCAGAAGAAGCCCUUAAUGAGGCCAUUAGACCUUUAGAGCUUUUCUCCAACUUCCUGCUGAACGGCACCAGGAAUUUAACCUGUUUCCAGUCACUCUCUCUUAGUAGAAUUUACCACCCUAUCCCCUCCUCUGAGAAUUGCCACCAAACCACCAGGGACCAAAUGUGAUUUUGAACAAGAGUCUUAAACUCUUUGGGUCCAGGCUUUUCAUCUGCAAAAUGGAGGUAAUGACCCUGAUAUCUCCCAGGUGUUGUUAAGAGAGGUAAGUGAAACGGUCAACAAGAAAACUUGGUUAAAU